CACGUAGGGCGCAAGCGUUGUCCGGAAUUAUUGGGCGUAAAGAGCUCGUAGGCGGUCUGUUGCGUCCGCUGUGAAAACUCGGGGCUUAACCCCGAGCCUGCAGUGGAUACGGGCAGACUAGAGGUAGGUAGGGGAGAAUGGAAUUCCCGGUGUAGCGGUGAAAUGCGCAGAUAUCGGGAGGAACACCGGUGGCGAAGGCGCUCAUCUGGCCCAAUACUGACGCUGCAGCGCGAAAGCUAGGGGAGCAAACGGG
rnacentral:rRNA from 1 species